GUAAAAAGUUGACAUUUACAGGCAGCAAAAUGUUAACAAAAAUAAUAAUAGUAGCAAUAAGAAUAAUAAAAAUAAUUAUUAAACAUUAUAACAUUAUAACAGUGUUAUUUUGGAUAUCUGUUAGGCUGGAAGAACAAGCGGAAGCUGAAUUUCGACAGAACGGAGGUACUUUAAUGAAAUACGGGAAAGCAGAUAAACCAAACUAGCUGUAAACACGGGAACCCAAAACAAACACCAACAAAGAGUAGUUCAUUAAAAAAUCCACAGAGUAGUUCACAGAGUAGCAUAUCCACCAGGUAAAUCCACAACGAGAUAAAUCCAUAGAAAUGGUAUUCAGUAAGGUCCUGAGAUGUUCACCAGACUAAACGGUAGAACGGACGAGGAGUGCUUGGAAGUGUGUGCUUAUAUAGUGGGUGAGCUGGUGAGUGUCAGGUGUGUGUGAUUAGUAGGAUGGGGAGCUGUUAGGAGGACUUUGUGUGGUUCUAGUGAAGGUGUGGCUGGUGGAUCCCUGACAGCAUGAGAGUGGCAUCUAUGGUAACUUUGUUUUGCAAUAUUAACAUGCCAUACCGUCUAUACAAUGUUGUAGUGGACUAGUGUUGUUACAUGGUGAGUGUGGGGGGGGUCUUCAAAAUUGUCCAAAUGGAGCUGAUUGGGUCUAAAUAAUAGGAAAGAGUACUACUACAAGACCACUAUACCUCUUUGGAAGUUAAUAAAACUUCUAAUAAAAGAAGUUUAAUCUUAAUAAACUAUAAUAUCCACUAAUUUUUUUCUUGUACAGACCCCGAUUUAUGACCACUCGACUUACAACAUUUCGGAAAUACGACGGUCACCUCUAUAGUUUUUUAUUUACUUUAUUUGUACUAUGUAAAACAAUACAUAGAGUAAAUCAUAGAGUAGUUGACUCCUCUUGACUUACGAUCUGAUGGCCAUUUUUUUGGUCCCUAUCUACGUCGUAAGUUGGGGUCUACCUGUAUUUAGAAUUUAAAACAUGCAAGAUGACCUGCUUGCCAGUGCCCUUAGAGUAAAAUCUGCACAUUCAAUUAAAAGCUUUCAAUUAAAAUGUUUUCUUAUUUGCUCUGAUACACAGCUAGAAUAACAAAAAACUGUCAAUAUGCCAAUAUUUAUGGACUGGUGUAUAGAUGCAUCUUGACAUUAACAGAAAACAUUUCAAUCUCUUUUUUCUGGUGUAAAAAAAUAUUGGUGAGUGUAGAACAAAAUUAAAUCUAAAUCAGACUUGGAUUGUAUAAUGUAUGUUGAGUGAACAUUAAAAAAUGUUUUCAAGCAAUGAAAGAAUUUAAGUGCUAAUGUAGUGAGGUCCUUUAUGGGGCCUUUUAUUUUAAAAUGUACUUUUGUUUUAAAAGCAGAAAGAAAAGCGUAGCCCCUUUAAGAGGUAGGCCCCAGUGAGUGCAUUGCCCCUUUAAGAGGAAGUGUCCCGAUUAGCGUGAGCGAAUGAACAAACGCUUCGGAUUCCGUACUCUUAUAAAGUGUCUGAGCAGCUGUGAGGAAUGGUUGCUGCUUGAUUGUCUGUUUGUUUCAUCGGCAGAUUUCUUCUCUAAUCAGGCUGCGUUUAUCCUUCAUGUGCAAGUGUUGUGCAUUUAGUAAGAGGGUGAUCAGAUCUGCUCUUUGGCGGCUGGACUGUGGAUGUGCUGCUUGUUUGCCAUUUGAGUGUGGUAUUGCUGUGCAGGCCUGGUUAAACGGAGGGGAACUGCAUUUGGUCACUGCUGUCCUUUACCCUUUAUUUUUGGGUUUUGUGAUUUAAUGUUUGUUUGGUUUUCUUUAUUUAAGGCACCCAUCAUGUUGUAUGGAUGCCGUGUUUAGCUGAUUGUUAAAAAGACUAUAGGGGGAUUGUUUGCAGAUAUUUUACUGUAUGAUAACCAACUGAUUUUGUGCAUCUGUUCCUUUCCAGUGGAUCAUCUGGGAGCACUGGUUGGAUUGUGGGUGUUGGUCCUUUGAUGGUGGAAUCUUUGCUACGGUUUACACUGCAUGCUGUGUGAAUCUUAUGAAUUUACGGUGUGUGGCACUUUGCGUGUGUGUGGGUGUGCGCGUGCGUGUGUGUGUUGAUGUGUUUUCCUUUACAGGCACCAUUUUGGGUGAACCUUUUUGGGGUUAAAGUGGGCCUGCACCCGUGGCCUGUCAGCCUUCCUUUGUAUCCACUGGAAUGUUUGGUGGUAAUUGGUAAUUGUAACAGUUGGUAUCCUUUUAAUAUGAUUCAUGUUGUAGUUUUAAAUAAAAUAAGGUAUUAAUAAUAAGGGUUUAUAUUUUAACUGAUUCUGGAUGUGUUGAGGAGGUUAAUAAAAAUCCAACACUAAAAUAAGAAA